rfam:Spizellomyces punctatus DAOM BR117 chromosome Tnknown supercont1.3, whole genome shotgun sequence.
GCUCGUAUGGUUUAGUGGUAUAACGUCGCCUUCACACGGCGAAGGUCCUCAGUUCGAUCCUGAGUACGAGUA